GGGGCCCAGGGUCGCGGAUAGACUCGGACAAGGCUCCGUUUACUUUCAGUUUGUCUUAGUUGACUAAUGGCGGGACUGGUUGUAAUGCGUGCUCUGAGAUUUUCUCCAGGAUUUGUCACUUUAAUUUUGCAAUAUGAGAAAGAGAAGCUAACAAAGGAAAGCCUCUUCAAAAAAUGGGAUUUCCUUGGCCUUAGCAGUUCUGGUGUGUUCCACUGCCAACACUAGACAGGAAAUGUCCAGUGUUGAUAGAAAUUACCUCUAAAGUCUUGAUUCUGGAAGAAGCUAGAGAAAUGGCUCUUGGAUUUCUAAUACUGGCACUUCUUUGGUGACUGUUUCCCAUGAAUUACCUCAACUUGCACUGAAAGCCACAAGAAAACCAAAAAAUGCAAACUACAAGCCUGAAUAUGCCUACAGAUUACCUGUGUCUUUAAUGUGUCUUGAGCAGUUUGGAUACAUGCUUGAUAUUUUGUGGCAACAAAAUACUAGUGCCAGACCUGUAUACCUAUGUAACAAACCUGCACGUUCUGCACAUGUAUCCCAGAACAUAACAUAUAAUUUUAAAAAAUUCAAAAAUAAAUAAAUAAAAUUUAAAGACUCAAAAAAAAAAA
ensembl:lncRNA novel transcript